AGUCGAGGGGUAGUAUAGCAAUAUAUGAGACCGGCGCACGGGUGCGUAACGCGUAUGCAACCUACCUUUUACAGGGGAAUAGCCCAGAGAAAUUUGGAUUAAUGCCCCAUAGUAUAAUUGAAUGGCAUCAUUUGAUUAUUAAAGUUCCAACGGUAAAAGAUGGGCAUGCGUCCUAUUAGCUAGAUGGUAAGGUAACGGCUUACCAUGGCUACGAUAGGUAGGGGUCCUGAGAGGGAGAUCCCCCACACUGGUACUGAGACACGGACCAGACUCCUACGGGAGGCAGCAGUGAGGAAUAUUGGACAAUGGGCGCAAGCCUGAUCCAGCCAUGCCGCGUGCAGGAAGACGCAUCUAUGGUGUGUAAACUGCUUUUGUACGGGAAGAAACACUCCCUCGUGAGGGAGCUUGACGGUACCGUAAGAAUAAGGAUCGGCUAACUCCGUGCCAGCAGCCGCGGUAAUACGGAGGAUCCAAGCGUUAUCCGGAAUCAUUGGGUUUAAAGGGUCCGUAGGCGGUUUAAUAAGUCAGUGGUGAAAGCCCAUCGCUCAACGAUGGAACGGCCAUUGAUACUGUUAGACUUGAAUUACAAGGAAGUAACUAGAAUAUGUAGUGUAGCGGUGAAAUGCUUAGAUAUUACAUGGAAUACCAAUUGCGAAGGCAGGUUACUACUUGUGGAUUGACGCUGAUGGACGAAAGCGUGGGGAGCGAACAGGAUUAGAUACCCUGGUAGUCCACGCCGUAAACGAUGGAUACUAGCUGUUCGGAGCAAUCUGAGUG
rnacentral:rRNA from 1 species